rnacentral:rRNA from 2 species
AGACCCGAAACCCGGUGAUCUAGCCAUGGGCAGGUUGAAGGUUGGGUAACACUAACUGGAGGACCGAACCGACUAAUGUUGAAAAAUUAGCGGAUGACCUGUGGCUGGGGGUGAAAGGCCAAUCAAACCGGGAGAUAGCUGGUUCUCCCCGAAAGCUAUUUAGGUAGCGCCUCGUGAAUUCAUCUCCGGGGGUAGAGCACUGUUUCGGCUAGGGGGCCAUCCCGGCUUACCAACCCGAUGCAAACUGCGAAUACCGGAGAAUGUUAUCACGGGAGACACACGGCGGGUGCUAACGUCCGUCGUGAAGAGGGAAACAACCCAGACCGCCAGCUAAGGUCCCAAAGUCAUGGUUAAGUGGGAAACGAUGUGGGAAGGCCCAGACAGCCAGGAUGUUGGCUUAGAAGCAGCCAUCAUUUAAAGAAAGCGUAAUAGCUCACUGGUCGAGUCGGCCUGCGCGGAAGAUGUAACGGGGCUAAACCAUGCACCGAAGCUGCGGCAGCGACACUGUGUGUUGUUGGGUAGGGGAGCGUUCUGUAAGCCUGUGAAGGUGUGUCGUGAGGCAUGCUGGAGGUAUCAGAAGUGCGAAUGCUGACAUAAGUAACGAUAAAGCGGGUGAAAAGCCCGCUCGCCGGAAGACCAAGGGUUCCUGUCCAACGUUAAUCGGGGCAGGGUGAGUCGACCCCUAAGGCGAGGCCGAAAGGCGUAGUCGAUGGGAAACGGGUUAAUAUUCCCGUACUUGGUGUUACUGCGAAGGGGGGACGGAGAAGGCUAUGUUGGCCGGGCGACGGUUGUCCCGGUUUAAGCGUGUAGGUGUGUGUUCCAGGUAAAUCCGGUUCACUUUAACACUGAGGCGUGACGACGAGGCACUACGGUGCUGAAGCAACAAAUGCCCUGCUUCCAGGAAAAGCCUCUAAGCAUCAGGUAACAUCAAAUCGUACCCCAAACCGACACAGGUGGUCAGGUAGAGAAUACCAAGGCGCUUGAGAGAACUCGGGUGAAGGAACUAGGCAAAAUGGUGCCGUAACUUCGGGAGAAGGCACGCUGACACGUAGGUGAAGUGAUUUACUCAUGGAGCUGAAGUCAGUCGAAGAUACCAGCUGGCUGCAACUGUUUAUUAAAAACACAGCACUGUGCAAACACGAAAGUGGACGUAUACGGUGUGACGCCUGCCCGGUGCCGGAAGGUUAAUUGAUGGGGUCAGCGCAAGCGAAGCUCCUGAUCGAAGCCCCGGUAAACGGCGGCCGUAACUAUAACGGUCCUAAGGUAGCGAAAUUCCUUGUCGGGUAAGUUCCGACCUGCACGAAUGGCGUAAUGAUGGCCAGGCUGUCUCCACCCGAGACUCAGUGAAAUUGAACUCGCUGUGAAGAUGCAGUGUACCCGCGGCAAGACGGAAAGACCCCGUGAACCUUUACUAUAGCUUGACACUGAACAUUGAGCCUUGAUGUGUAGGAUAGGUGGGAGGCUUUGAAGUGUGGACGCCAGUCUGCAUGGAGCCGACCUUGAAAUACCACCCUUUAAUGUUUGAUGUUCUAACGUGGACCCGUUACCCGGGUUGCGGACAGUGUCUGGUGGGUAGUUUGACUGGGGCGGUCUCCUCCUAAAGAGUAACGGAGGAGCACGAAGGUUGGCUAAUCCUGGUCGGACA